ACUAUUUUCUUUUAUGAUCUGAGAAUGUUUAGCAAAUAAAAUGAAGACACUCACAUGUGUCUUCAUUACAUUUAUCAUUCACUGUAUCUAAACGCACUAGACACUAGACUCUUUGCCCAUCAGUACUUGGCCAAGUUUUUUUUGGAGAGAGGGAAAAAAAAGCCUAUUCUGUGAGCCACAGUGCAAAGUUGAUGUAUUUCCUCAGUGACAAGCAUGGAUCUCUUCUUCAUGGCCUUCCUCUCAGGAGAAACCUCUGACGUUUUUCAAAACAAUGUUGGCAAGUACCUUUUUCUGCUUCAUUGAACUCUUAUCUUGCACCAGAUUAGCAACCUCCGAAUUUAAUUUUUUAACUCAAGCCCUUGUACAUUUUGUUAUAUGCAUGUUCUGCCAUAAUUGUACUAUACAUUUUGUCUAAUUUCUACACAAUACUUAACAACCAUUGUUUGUCUCUGUUAGGUGUACACGGAGCAUAAGAUAAUGGUCCAAAUUCUUUUAAGUUACAUGUACAUUUGUGAGAUUAUUUGAAAUGUGACAGGAAUUGUAAUCUACUGUUGUUUUUUUAGGACUGAAAGUGACACACCCCAGAUUUCCGUCGGAUGCUGACUGUGUUGGCAGAAGACGGCCAGGAAUCUCUAUUUGGAUGGUUUUUACAGCUCAAACCCUGCGGCAGACAGUUUGUGUGUCACGACCGUCCAGUUCUGAGGAGAAACACAGACCACUUCCAGGAGCGGCUGAGGCGUGUGUGUGUGUGUGUGUGUGUGUGUGUGAGGAGAGAGAUAAGAGUAAGACUAUCCCGUCUCCACAGCGACAGACUAACAGACUGAUAGCGCGUGAUGGUUCCUCUGCGUCUAUGAUGGAUGAUGGACUCUGAUGAGGCUCUGAGCAGAUCCUGCUCUCGCUCGGCUUAUCCAAAUGAAAUCAGAGCCCAGCAUCGACCUGAACGCCCAUCAGUCAGGCAGUAAGCAGCAGCACACUUUCUGUGGAUCUCACACUUCAUAAUGACAGAAUGUACCGCUGAUCUUCUCCAAGAGCUCUUUAGAAGUGGACGUGUUAGAUUUAUUUACCAGUUCACAGUGAUCCGAUCAGUCCAGUCUGACAGAGUGUUCUGAACACUGAAUCAGAUUUGUAAAUGAUUCCUUGAAACACAGAGUUCAGAAGAAUCGAUUUGUGGAAUUGUGCUCUUCAUGUGUUAGUACAGAAACAGCAGAGCUCAUCUAAUUGGCUCCUUUGGGACGGCAAACGCUCGCUUCCUUGUGUGUGUGUGUGUGUGUGUGUGUGUAUAUAUAUAUAUGUAUAUAACAUCACUCAAAGUGUACAUUGCUGGCAACACCAAGAUCAUGGGCUGGAUUUCCAGGGAAUGUGUGAACUUCAUAAAAUGCACAAAAUAACUUUUCACUAAAAUCAUACUUUUUUACACACACACACACACACAUAUAUAUUAUAUGUAAAUAAUAUUAUAUAUACAAAUUUGUUUAAAUAUUUCAAGUAUGCAAAAAUAGCACAAAUAAACUAAAAUGUGUUUUAAAAUUCA
ensembl:lncRNA